rnacentral:rRNA from 1 species
CUGGAGGUAUCAGAAGUGCGAAUGCUGACAUAAGUAACGAUAAAGCGGGUGAAAAGCCCGCUCGCCGGAAGACCAAGGGUUCCUGUCCAACGUUAAUCGGGGCAGGGUGAGUCGACCCCUAAGGCGAGGCCGAAAGGCGUAGUCGAUGGGAAACAGGUUAAUAUUCCUGUACUUGGUGUUACUGCGAAGGGGGGACGGAGAAGGCUAUGUUGGCCGGGCGACGGUUGUCCCGGUUUAAGCGUGUAGGCUGGUUUUCCAGGCAAAUCCGGAAAAUCAAGGCUGAGGCGUGAUGACGAGGCACUACGGUGCUGAAGCAACAAAUGCCCUGCUUCCAGGAAAAGCCUCUAAGCAUCAGGUAACAUCAAAUCGUACCCCAAACCGACACAGGUGGUCAGGUAGAGAAUACCAAGGCGCUUGAGAGAACUCGGGUG